rnacentral:rRNA from 1 species
AUGAAUUGCCUAAGUUGGAACUACCGGGGAGGGGGGAACACCCGGACAGUUCGUGAGUUAGCGACGUUGUGUAAGUCGCGUUCCCCCAUGCUUUUUUUGUGUGAAACUAGACAAAAGGAGGAGAAGAUGAAAAGGAUCCGGGCCAAACUGGGUCUUAAGGGUUUUUGUGGAGCGGACAGUAAUGGUCUGAGUGGUGGUUUGGUGCUAUACUGGAGGGAAGAAUGUGUGGUAGAAAUUUUGGACAAAGAUGACAUAUUCAUUGAUACAGUUAUCAAAGUCCAAGAAGGAGCGGCGGAAUGGAGAGCCACGUUUGUGUACGGGGAGCCGCGGGUGGAGAAUAGGCACUUAAUGUGGACUAAGUUACGGAGCCUGAAAGCUGUCAAUAAUUUGCCAUGGCUGGUAAUCGGUGAUUUUAAUGAAGCUAUGUGGGAAUUCGAACACUUCUCGAUCACGCCUCGGGCGGAAGCACAGAUGGUAGCUUUUCGGGACAUGUUGGAGGUAUGUGAGCUAGUGGAUCUUGGGUUCACCGGCCUUCCUUUCACAUAUGAUAACAGACGGGGCAGGUCGGCAAAUGUCAAGGUGAGACUUGAUCGUGCGGUGGCCACAAAUGAUUGGCGUAAUUUGUUUGCGUUCGCUGCAGUUGAGCAUAUCCCAACCCCAUGUUCGGAUCACGUCGUGGUCUUUCUUAAGGCAGAGCCGGAUCCGGGUCCAACGAGGGAGAGGAGUAGAAGGUAUGAGGUAUUUGGGAGAGGGAUUCAACAUUGCCAAAGGUGGUGGAUGAUGCAUGGGGUGCAGUAG